UACGUAGGUGGCAAGCGUUGUCCGGAUUUACUGGGCGUAAAGAGCGCGCAGGCGGUCGUCCAAGUCGCGUGUGAAAGCCCCCGGCUCAACUGGGGAGGGUCACGCGAUACUGGUCGACUCGAAGGCAGGAGAGGGUAGUGGAAUUCCGAGUGUAGAGGUGAAAUUCGUAGAUAUUCGGAAGAACACCAGUGGCGAAGGCGACUGACUGGACAUGUAUUGACGCUGAGGUGCGAAAGCGUGGGGAGCAAACAGG
rnacentral:rRNA from 1 species